rnacentral:rRNA from 1 species
UGGGGAAUAUUGGACAAUGGGCGCAAGCCUGAUCCAGCAAUGCCGCGUGUGUGAAGAAGGCCUUCGGGUUGUAAAGCACUUUUAUCAGGAGCGAAACGCUGUCGGCUAAUACCCGGCGGAACUGACGGUACCUGAGGAAUAAGCACCGGCUAACUUCGUGCCAGCAGCCGCGGUAAUACGAAGGGUGCAAGCGUUAAUCGGAAUUACUGGGCGUAAAAGCGUGCGUAGGCGGUUUCUUAAGUCUGCUGUGAAAUCCCCGGGCUCAACCUGGGAAUGGCAGUGGAUACUGGGAGGCUAGAGUGUGUCAGAGGGUGGUGGAAUUCCCGGUGUAGCGGUGAAAUGCGUAGAGAUCGGGAGGAACAUCAGUGGCGAAGGCGGCCACCUGGGACAACACUGACGCUGAGGCACGAAAAGCGUGGGGAGCAAACAGGAUUAGAUACCCUGGUAGUCCACGCCCUAAAACGAUGCGAACUGGAUGUUGGUCUCAACUCGGAGAUCAGUGUCGAAGCUAACGCGUUAAGUUCGCCGCCUGGGGAGUACGGUCGC